UACGUAGGGACCAAGCGUUGUUCGGAUUUACUGGGCGUAAAGGGCGCGUAGGCGGCAAUUCAAGUCAGUUGUGAAAUCUCCGAGCUUAACUCGGAACGGUCAACUGAUACUGUUUUGCUAGAGUACAGAAGGGGCAAUCGGAAUUCUUGGUGUAGCGGUGAAAUGCGUAGAUAUCAAGAGGAACACCUGAGGCGAAGACGGGUUGCUGGGCUGAUACUGACGCUGAGGCGCGAAAGCUAGGGUAGCAAACGGG
rnacentral:rRNA from 1 species